UACGUAGGGGGCUAGCGUUGUCCGGAUUUAUUGGGCGUAAAGAGCGUGUAGGCGGCCAGGUAGGUCUGCUGUGAAAACUCGAGGCUCAACCUCGAGACGUCGGCGGAAACCAUCUGGCUAGAGUCCGGAAGAGGAGAGUGGAAUUCCUGGUGUAGCGGUGAAAUGCGCAGAUAUCUGGAGGAACACCGGUGGCGACGGCGGCAUCCUGGACCGGUAUUGACGCUGAUGCGCGAAAGCCAGGGGAGCAAACGGG
rnacentral:rRNA from 1 species